rnacentral:rRNA from 1 species
GACGAACGCUGGCGGCGUGCCUAACACAUGCAAGUCGAACGGGACUGGGGGCAACUCCAGUUCAGUGGCAGAUGGGUGCGUAACACGUGAGGAACUUGUCCGACGGCGGGGGAUAGCCGG